rnacentral:rRNA from 1 species
GGUGGGCCCGCGACCUAUCAGCUUGUCGGUGGGGUAACGGCCUACCGAGGCUCUGACGGGUAGCUGGUCUGAGAGGACGACCAGCCACACGGGGACUGAGACACGGCCCCGACUCCUACGGGAGGCAGCAGUAAGGAAUCUUCCGCAAUGGGCGAAAGCCUGACGGAGCGACGCCGCGUGUGGGAUGAAGUCUCUCGGGAUGUAAACCACUGUCGGAGGGGAAGAGAAUGGACGGUACCCUCCAAGAAAGCCCCGGCUAACUACGUGCCAGCAGCCGCGGUAAUACGUAGGGGGCAAGCGUUACUCGGAUUCACUGGGCGUAAAGCGCGUGUAGGCGGCUGGUCAAGCGUGAUGUGAAAUCUCCGGGCUUAACCCGGAAACUGCAUCGCGAACUGGCCUGGCUGGAGUGCAGGAGAGGGAUGUGGAAUUCCCGGUGUAGCGGUGAAAUGCGUAGAUAUCGGGAGG